rnacentral:rRNA from 1 species
UACGUAGGUGACCAGCGUUGUCCGGAUUUACUGGGCGUAAAGAGCGCGCAGGCGGUCGUUCAAGUCGAGUGUGAAAGCCCCCGGCUCAACUGGGGAGGGUCAUUCGAUACUGAUCGACUCGAAGGCAGGAGAGGGAAGUGGAAUUCCCGGUGUAGUGGUGAAAUGCGUAGAUAUCGGGAGGAACACCAGUGGCGAAGGCAGCUUUCUGGACAGUAACUGACUCUGAGGCACGAAGGCUAGGGGAGCGAACGGG